AUCGCUUCUCGGCCUUUUGGCUAAGAUCAAGUGAAGAAUCACAAUGAUUAAUUAAAUUGAAAAUGUAAUAAUUUCACCAGAUUUAUAGUUUUGUAGAGCUGAGAUUUGCACACAGGUUUAUCUGUAAUGCUUCUUAA
rnacentral:snRNA from 1 species